rnacentral:rRNA from 1 species
AGGCCUUGACAUCCCUUGCAAAGCUGUAGAGAUACAGUAGAGGUUAUCAAGGAGACAGGUGGUGCAUGGUUGUCGUCAGCUCGUGUCGUGAGAUGUUGGGUUAAGUCCCGCAACGAGCGCAACCCUUGCCUUCAGUUACCAGCAUUCAGUUGGGGACUCUGGAGGGACUGCCGGUGAUAAACCGGAGGAAGGUGGGGAUGACGUCAAAUCAUCAUGCCCCUUAUGGCCUGGGCUACACACGUACUACAAUGGCUGUUACAACGUGCAGCGACCUAGCGAUAGGAAGCGAAUCACUAAAAGACAGUCUCAGUUCGGAUUGAAGUCUGCAACUCGACUUCAUGAAGCUGGAAUCGCUAGUAAUCGCGGAUCAGAAUGCCGCGGUGAAUACGUUCUCGGGCC